rnacentral:rRNA from 1 species
AGAACGAACGCUGGCGGCGCGCCUAAUACAUGCAAGUCGAGCGAGAAGACGUAGCAAUACGUUUGUAAAGCGGCGAACGGGUGAGGUAUACAUGGGUAACCUACCCUUGAGUGGGGAAUAACUAGCCGAAAGGUUAGCUAAUACCGCGUACGCUCCUUGAACUUCGGUUCAGGGAGGAAAGCGAUGCCGUGGGUAUCGCGCUCUUGGAUGGGCUCAUGUCCUAUCAGCUUGUUGGUGAGGUAACGGCUCACAAGGCUUCGACGGGUAGCGUGGUCUGAGAGGACGAUCAGCCACACUGGCACUCGACGACGACCGGGCCAGACUCCUAACGGGAGCAGCAA